rnacentral:rRNA from 1 species
UACAGAGGGGGCAAGCGUUGUUCGGAAUUACUGGGCGUAAAGGGCGCGUAGGCGGCCAACUAAGUCACACGUGAAAUCCCCAGGCUUAACCUGGGAACUGCGUGUGAUACUGGAUGGCUUGAAUUCGGGAGAGGGAUGCAGAAUUCCAGGUGUAGCGGUGAAAUGCGUAGAUAUCUGGAGGAAUACCGGUGGCGAAGGCGGCAUCCUGGACCGACAUUGACGCUGAGGCGCGAAAGCUAGGGGAGCAAACGGG